rnacentral:rRNA from 1 species
CCCUUAGAUGUUCUGGGCUGCACGCGCGCUACACUGAUUCUUUCAGCGAGUCCACCACCUUGCCUGGGAGGGUGGGGUAACCUCUGGAAAGAGCAUCGUGAUGGGGAUCGAUUAUUGUAAUUAUUAAUCUUCAACGAGGAAUUCCUAGUAAGCAUGUGUCAUCAGCCCGUGCUGAUUACGUCCCUGCCCUUUGUACACACCGCCCGUCGCUCCUACCGAUUGAACGGUUUAGUGAGGGCCUCGGAUUGGUCUCGGCCCGCUCUUUACCGGGCGGCGCCGUUGGUCGAGAAGGCGCUCGAACUUGAUCGUUUAGAGGAAGUAAAAGUCGUAACA